GGAAACUGGGUCUAAUACCGGAUACGACCAAUCUCCGCAUGGGGUGUUGUUGGAAAGCGUUAUGGAGUGGUUUUAGAUGGGCUCACGGCCUAUCAGCUUGUUGGUGAGGUAAUGGCUUACCAAGGCGACGACGGGUAGCCGGCCUGAGAGGGUGACCGGCCACAUUGGGACUGAGAUACGGCCCAG
rnacentral:rRNA from 1 species